UAACCACUCCAGCCUCGCUGGGUCUUGGGCUCCGCCGUUUGGCGGGCCUUAAACGUCGUGGCGGUCCUGUCAGGCUCUAAGCGUAGUACAUCUGUCGCUAUAGGGCCCUGGGAGCGGCUGGCCAACAACCCCCUUUUUUUCAGG
rnacentral:misc_RNA from 1 species